AAAAAGACAAACCCUGAAUUUUCGUGUCCAACGUUUAACUAUCCGUCUUAUAUAAAUUUUUUAUAAUUAGUAUUUUAAUUAUUGUUAGAUGAUAAAACAUGAUUAAUACUUUAUGCGUGACUUGUCUUUUUAAUUUUUUCAAAUAAGACGAACGGUCAAACGUUGGACACGAAAACCAAGGGUU
rnacentral:pre_miRNA from 1 species